AUUGUGUCUUGGCCUUUUGGCUAAGAUCAAGUGGAGUAUCUGUUCUUACCAGUUUCAUAUUAGGGCUGAGACAGGAAUGUUUCCUGCAUGUCUGUGUACAAUUGCAUGAAAUAUUU
ensembl:snRNA U2 U2 spliceosomal RNA